UGAGUACGAGAUGCUACGGCAUCGAAGCAGUCUAUGUCAUACUUCCAAGAAAAGCUUGCAAUGUCAUAAACAAAUAAUGCCUGUACCAUAACCGACACAGGUGGGUAGGUAGAGUAUACUAAGGGGCGCAGAUAACUCUCUCUAAGGAACUCGGCAAAAUGACUCCGUAACUUCGGGAGAAGGAGUGCCUUAUUUUUAUAAGGUUGCAAUAACAAGAUCCAAGCAACUGUUUACCAAAAACACAGGUCUCCGCUAAGUCGUAAGACGAUGUAUGGGGGCUGACGCCUGCCCAGUGCCAGAAGGUUAAAGAAGUUGGUUAGCAUUAGCGAAGCUGAUAACUGAAGCCCUGGUGAACGGCGGCCGUAACAAUAACGGUCCUAAGGUAGCGAAAUUCCUUGUCGGGUAAGUUCCGACCCGCACGAAAGGCGUAAUGAUUUGGAUACUGUCUCGGAGAGGGGCUCGGUGAAAUAGACUUGUCUGUGAAGAUGCGGACUACCUGCACCUGGACAGAAAGACCCUAUGAAGCUUUACUGUAACUUGAGAUUGAGAUUGGACUUUAUCUGCGCAGUAUAGGUGGGAGACGUUGAAAAUAUUCUUGCGGGAAUAUUGGAGUCAUCAGUGAGAUACCACUCUUAUAAUGUUAGAUUUCUAACUUUGUAUCAUUAUCUGGUCAAAGAACAGUUUCAGGCGGGCAGUUUGACUGGGGCGGUCGCCUCCCAAACGGUAACGGAGGCGCACAAAGGUUUCCUCUGAACGUGUAGAAAUCGUAUCUAGAGUGUAAAGGCAUAAGGAAGCUUGACUGUGAGACCUACAAGUCGAGCAGGGACGAAAGUCGGUCUUAGUGAUCUGACGGUGCUGAGUGGAAAGGCCGUCACUCAACGGAUAAAAGUUACUCUAAGGAUAACAGGCUGAUCUCCCCCAAGAGUUCACAUCGACGGGGAGGUUUGGCACCUCGAUGUCGGCUCAUCGCAUCCUGGGGCGGUAGUACGUCCCAAGGGUUGGGCUGUUCGCCCAUGAAAGCGGUACGCGAGCUGGGUUCAGAACGUCGUGAGACAGUUCGGUCCAUAUCCGGUGUAGGCGUUAGAAUAUUGAGAGGAGCCUUCUUUAGUACGAGAGGACCGAGAAGGACAUACCUCUGGUGUACCAGUUAUCGUGCCAACGGUAAACGCUGGGUAGCCAUGUAUGGAGAGGAUAACCGCUGAAAGCAUCUAAGUGGGAAGCCCACCUCAAGAUAAG
rnacentral:rRNA from 1 species